GUGCUCGCUUCAGCAGCACAUAUACUAAAAUUGGAAUGAUACAGAGAUUAGCAUGGCCCCUGUGCAAGGAUGAUAUGCAAAUUCGUGAGGCAUUCCGUAUUUUU
rfam:Canis lupus familiaris chromosome 8, whole genome shotgun sequence.